rnacentral:lncRNA from 1 species
CAACAACUAUAAAAGGAGACCAUGAGGCAAUGAGUUGAUCAUCAAAGCAAACACACAGAAAUCCCAACUAAAAAUCAAUCAGUGAGACAAUGGCUGGAACCAAUGAUAUUAAAAUUAAAGGGUUUGAUUUGAGCAACAACAAAGGCAACACGUCGGGAUUAACCCACUUCGCCAACAGAGCUGCCGAGGGCGACAAGGGCGACAAUAAAAUCGAGGUUGAGGAUGCUAAAGGGCAAGGGAACACGGGAAACUUGAAAGUACUGACCGACUUCGCCCAACGCGGUAAAGUGGGCCAGUCGGAUCGCCAAGAACUACUCAAACCUCAGGCAUGAAAUUGAAGAAGGCCAGACCACAACAACUUGUCUGCUUGAUAGAUAUAUGUGCUAAAUUAUCUACACAAAAAUAAGAGCUGAUGUUUUAUCUGAGGCUCCUUCCUUGGUUAGGCCUCGUUAUCAUGUGUAAUAUUAAUAUUAUUAUUCUAAUAAAAUAAUGGUAGCUUAUUAUUAAAUAUAUCAGAAUUCUAUACGUAUAACUUUUAGAUUAUUGAUACUGAUGUCAACAAGAGAAAAUGAUUAAAAAUUCCUUUCUCCAAUUCGUGAUGUUAGACAAGAAGCAAACAAAUUUAGGAUAAUGGAUUUUAAAAGUUUGGUGACAAAUGAUGGUAAAGAAGAAUUUAGCCACUACUACAAAAAGUGAAAAAGACGACCAGAAAACAACGACGGUCUAAGUGAAAACCGUCGUGGUUUAUAAAAAGACGACGGUUCUAAAAACACCGUCGUGUAAUACAACCUUAGACAACUAAAAAAUGGAGUUUCAAAUGGCUGUUCAAAAACAACGACGUACAUAAUUAAACAACCGACGUCUAUUUGAAACAGAUUUCCUCAGUGUAAAAUCAAUGCCAACAAAGAACGGCAGAAGUUAUGAAUCGACCGACGUAGAAAGUAAAGACGACGAUUUCAAUAAAAACUGCCGUUUUUACUCAUAAAAUAACACGACGAGGUUUUCGUAUAAGACGCCGUAUAAUUACAAACAAAUCCACGGCUUUAAAAUACAAAAUAUCGCCGUAUUAAAUUAAUUUACAACGACGGAAAAUAUAAAUAUAUCGACGUCAUUCUCGUAUAGUUCUACUACGUUAUCUUUAAAUCGUACAAUAAAAUUUAUCGUCGUAUUUAUUCAUUUUAUACGUCGUACCUUUAAUUUUAACGGUCGUCUUAAUAAGAAUUUUUGUUAACAAUUUUUUUCUUUGAUUUUCUUAUCCUACGUCGGUAGAUCUACUUAAUGACAAGAAUUGAAAUAACCACGACGGUUUAUAUAGAACACCGCCGACAUAAUCAGUUUUGUCUGAGAUCCCAAGGGUUACGAAAUCUUACCAGAUGGAACUCUGUUCCACAUCAUAAUCUUAACAGAUGACACAGAUUUGCAAAUAUUGCGUCGUGUUAGUUUACAAAUUCUAGAACAUUAAUUUCCCUCAUUUUAAAUUUCCUCGGGAAAGAAAAAUCUAUUUAUCACGCUUUGGAAUUGAAAACUAAAACUGAAAGAAUACGGGAAAAAAAACUCCAUUUAUAAUUUAAAAUUAAAAUCCACGUCGGUUGUAGUACACUUAACGACGUUUAACAAAAUAAUCUACGUCGGUAAUUAUAAAUCUACCGCCAUCGUAACUUAAUAUAGACGACGAGAAAAGACGACGGUAGAACAGAAAACCGCCGUUGUUUCAGUUUCUUUAACAUAUCUUUCUGCAGGACUUGUGUAGUUCAAAGCAUUGACAAUGUCUUCAUCAUAUCUCCCAGAAACUACUGAUUCAAUUGCUCAUGCUUUAGAGGCCAUCUGAAGCCAUUUCUAUUCUUUAUCGCAUUCUUGAAACCCAUCUUCUUCUUCUGAAGCUCUACGGAUAAAGGAAGAGGCUAUCACAAUAAAUCCGACGGAUCUUCUUAGGCAAGAAAAUCAAGCAGAGGAUCAGGCACAUCUGAUCUUCAGAUUUCCCUGAGAAGCGAACUUUCCUUCGACAGCGAGUGGAGGCCAGGCUUGCAUCUCUUUUGAUGGAAAGCAAGGAGUAUUCAGAAGCACUAAGUGUCCUAUCAGGCUUGAUCAAGGAAGUGAGAAGGCUAGUUGACAAGCUUCUUCUUGUGGACAUAUAUUUGAUGCGAGUAAGCUCAAUUUCUCUUUGAGAAAACAUCCAAAUUAUUAUCUUUGAGACAUGAGAGACUGAGAGAGGAAGAACUUGGAACCUUAAAUGUAAACCGAAAAUGAAUGAAAGCGACAAAUUUAUAGAAUAAAUUUUUAAAACCAACGGCGGUCCUUACAAACAAACCGCCGUUUAAAUUGUAAAAUCAACGUCGGUAUGAUCGACGUAUAUUACAGAAAUCCACGUCGGUAAAUUAAUAAAAACGACGUGUUAAAUAAUAUACCAUGACGCGAGUUAUUACUUAUGUACUUUAAUUUUUGAGUUUACUACGACGGUACCUACAAACUACUGUCGUAUUUAUUUACCACGUCCGAAGUUAAAUGUACCGUCGUAUUUUGUAAUUUAUACGUCGUAGUUAUAUGUAACCGCCAUAUUAUUUUUUUGAAAUGGUUUUAUAUGUAAGCAACUUUUCGUCUACUUGACUUACACAUUUGUUGUUUUUAUAUUCUUAUUUUAUUUAAAUCUGUCAUCCAAAAAAGAAACUUUACAUAUUGCAGAAUAUUAAUUUCCUUCGUUUUAAAUUUCCUCCGGAAAAAAAACUCUAUUUAUAACGCACUGUAAUUGAAAAAUAAACUGAAAGGUCACGGGAAAAAAAAUUCUAUUCAUAAUUUAAAAAUUAAAAUCCACGUCGGUUAUAUUAAACCUAACGACGUUAAAUGAAAUGAUUCCACGUCGAAUGAAAAAUAUUGCGUCGUUUUAGUUAAAAACGACGUAGUUAAAUGUAACCGCCGUAUUAUUUUUUUGAAAUGGUUUUAUAUGUAAGCAACUUUUCGACUUACACAUGCACUGUUUCCAAACCCGAUUAAAAAUUUCAAUCUCCCAGAGAAACCUUUUCGUCUUUUUUCCUUGUCAGAGCAUUGUCAGAGUUUUUCAUCGUCUUCCUCUCGUCUUCUUCGUCGUCUCUGAACUUAAACAUCGAUCAUCUUCCUCUUGCUUUCAUUGCACGCAAAAGGUAAGCUUUCAUUUUCACUAUUUUGGUUACUGUUUUGCAUGCUCAUACGUUUUUUGUUUGAAAAAUCUUUUUACCUUUUUUCUGGCCAAAAUCAUUUUACUUCUUUCCAAGUUUGAUAAAAUAUACAGACAAAGAGAGAAAGUUUCCAACUUUGAAGACAACUACAUCAACUAAAUAAGACGACGGUAGACCACGACGGUUCGUCAGUUGUUCUAGCGUCGUCUGAAAAUUGACAAAGUUGUUUUUAAAAUAAUAGUCUUUUUUUAUAUGCUUGUUUAAUUGCAGGUUUGAUUUCGCUGAACAAUGGUUUUUGUUUUUCCCUUAUUUGAUAAAAUAUAAAGAAAAAGAAACUAGGGUUGGUAUCUAAUAUAGACGAUAAAAUAUAAAUAAUAGUUUACCACGACGGUGUAUUACUAUUGACGUCGUGUGAACAUAUAUACCACGACGUUAUAUAAAUAAUGGUUUUAAACAUUUAUUACGUCUGAGAUUAUUUCAUUGCGUCGUCUAAAAUCAUAUCAUACGUCGUAUUUUUUUAAUACCGUCGUUUGUGUUCUUAAUGUUUUCCUGAAAUAUUUUCACUUGCAGUUUUGUCUGUUAAAAUGGUUUCUCAACAACAAACUAAGGAUUCUGGCUCCAAGAAGCUUGGAAUGGUAGCUCCUCAAGAUAAGUCUUCGAAGGAGAUGAAGUCUUCGAAGAAGAUGAAGUUUGCUUCAUCAUCUGCUGAGACAGAACAAACCAGCCAGACAACAAUCUCAGAUGAUUCAAAGACUGGUCGAGGUAUGAGCACAAUGCCUCGUGUUGUGAAGAGAAAGCUUCAGAAACUGAGGCCAAUUGUUGAGUACAAUAAAAGGGGGAAAGGUGUUGGCCAAGCACAUAUUGAGAUGCAGUCGUAUAUUGGUGUGUUGGCACGCUCCAGGAUCCCACUUGUGGACAAGAAAUGGUCCCAAAUCCCCAAGGAUAUAAAGGAGCAGAUUUGGGAAGCAGUUGACAUGGCUUUUGUCGUAGGCCAAGGGGGCAAGACCUCUGUUUUAGCUUCUGCUUCCAAGAAAUGGAAGGAUUUCAAGUCUACACUAACGAGGCAUUAUAUCCUUCCAUACACCAAUGACAGGGAGAAAUUAAGCCAACCCCCUGAAACAUAUAAAUUCAUAGAGAAAGCACAAUGGGAUGCCUUUGUAGCUUCAAGGCUAUCCAAAGAUUUUGAGUCUGUGCAUUCUCAACAUGCACAGAUUAGGGAGAAACUCGAGUACAAUCAUCGAUUGUCUCGAAAAGGAUAUGCUGGAUUGGAGGAUCAAUUGGAGGAAACCAUGCCUGGGGUAGAAAUUGAUCGAUCUACCUUAUGGAAGAGAGCUAGACAGGACAAACAUGGUAACAUCCCUGAUCCAAAGGUGGCAGAGAAAGCAAAAUUAAUUGUAAGCCUACUAUCACUCUGUUUUAAAUUUUUAUUAAACUGUGAAUUAUUCUUAUUACGUCGUAUGUUAUAUUUUUCGUCGUGUGAAUGAUAUUACCACGUCGAAAAGUUUUUAAAAACGUCGUUAAAGGUCUAAAUAGGAAUCACUACUAUGUUUUCUGUAAUUACAGCAUAAGACGUCGGUGGUUCAUUUUCGCGUCGUGUGAAUGAUAUUACCACGUCGAAAAUUUUUUAAAAACGUCGUUAACGGUCUAAAUAGGAAUCACUACUCUGUUAUCUUUAAUUAUAGCAUAAGACGUCGGUUGUUUAUUCAUUUCGUCGUUUUAAAUAAAUAACCACGUCGGUAUAACUACCGUCGUGAUAAGUUAUAAUAACGUCGGUUUAUACGUUAUUGCGUCGUGUGAAAUUAUAUAAUACGUCGUUUGUACAUAAAUAACCGUCGUGUGUUUUUUUGUUUAUCUUUUUUUAGGAUGAAUUGCAGAAACAAGUCUCGGAAGGCAAAGUCAGAGUAGAUGGCAGCAAUGAUGUGCUGACCAUGGCUUUGGGCCCCGAGCAUCCAGGCAGACUGAGGGGAGUUGGUGCUGGUGUUUCCCCAAGGCAAUAUUUCAAUUUGCCCAAACCACAGAGGGUGAGCUUUGACGACCGUUUGAAGGACAGUUUAAGAGUUCUCCUUCAAGAAGAGACUAAAAAGAUGGAGGCUAAGGCAAGGGAAGAGGCCUUAAGGAUGGAGGCUAGGACAAAACAAUUGGUAGAGGCUGAGAGGGAGCAUUUCCUGAGUCAGCUUUCCCAAUUAAUUCCCAAUUUUGAUCCAAGCAUGCUUAAACCAAGAAUUAGCCAAAGCCCCAAAAAUCCAAUGUCUGACAAAGCUAGCUGCUCUGGAGGUGAUGUGAGAUCCCUACAUUUGGAGGAUGAUACUGCCAAAAUGGGGAAACAUCAGCCAGAUGAAGAGAAGGAAGAAGAAAAAAGAGAUGAAGAGAAGGAAGAAGAAAAGGAGAAAGAAGAUGAAGAAAAGCAUGACGACAAGGUAUGUUCACAUAACUUUGCCUUUUUUAUUUGUUUUUCAAAAUUUCAGACGUCGAUAUUUUUAUUUAAUCCGUCGUUUGUUUAAAACUUAGACGGCGGAAUUUUUUUAAGACGUAAUAAAAUAUUUAAACGACGGUUUUUGCACCGUCGUUUAAAUGGUUUCAGACGACGCUUUAUUCAUAAAACCGUCGUCUUUAUUGAAUUACCACGACAGUUUUUUCACCGUCGUUUAAAUACUUUUAAGACGACGUUUUAUUACUUAAACCGUCGUCUUUAUUGAAUUACCACGUCAUUUUUUUUAUUUCUUUAAACAGGUUAUUGAAGUUGGUGCUUAUUCAAAAAUGGAGGCGCCAUCUUCUUUAAAAACCCUUUGUCGUUUUGUGGAAACGACACUCCUGCCUGAGGAUAAGACACUCCAAUUUACAAUUGAUAAGGAGGUGUUUGGUGGUGAGCGCGAUACCUUCCUCCUGCCUGAAGAUAUUACACAAUUUGCAGGCAUGGAAGAAAUUGGAGCUACUGUAUUGGCUGUAUAUAUGAGGUUUGUACUUCUAAAAUAAUACCUCGUUGGUUUAUAUAUUGCGUCGUCUUAACUAACUAACCACGUCGUCUUAACUAACUACCGUCGUGAUAAAUAUAUUAUAACGUCCUCAUCUAUUUCAGUACGUCGUGUGAAAUAUUAUAAUACGUCGUUUUUUUAUACAUAACCGUCGUGUUUGUUUGUGCUGACUUGUUUAUAUUAUUUUAUGUAUUUAGGUACUUACACGAUGUUUUGAAACAAGCCAAUAUGUGCAGCAUGGUUGGCUUUAUUGACCCUGCUACAGUUAGUGCCAACUCUGGCACAAUAACUGAAAGAUCACGACUGGUAGCAGCUCGACUUCAGAAGACAGACGGUGAACAGCUUUUCAUGAUGCCUUACAAUCCAGGGUUAGUCUCCUUAGGAUUUUGUUUUUAUGAUUUUCAAUAAAUGACAGCUUAUAAACUAACCACGUCGGUGUUUUAUUUUAUUUAGUCGUUUGAAACUACUAACCACGUCGGUAUUUAUUUGUCGUCGUGAUAAAUAUAUAAUGUUGUCGUUAUCUACUUUAUUUCGUCGUGUGAAAUACUAUAAUACGUCGUUUUUGUAAAUAACCGUCGUUUUUAUAUUAAUUUUGUGCAGCCGUCAUUGGAUCCUGCUGAUUGUAAGAGCAAAGAAGGAGACCGUCUAUUUUCUGGAUCCUCUGCCAGGUCAUCGUGUGGUCGACGAAGAGGCGAAAAACAUCGUGAACAGUGCUUUAAAAAUAUAUAAUACCCACAUAGGCCGAGCAGGACGUAAAAAUGUAAUUUGAAAAACUCUCUCAGGCACACCAAAGCAACCCAGCAAUGUCGAAUGCGGGUAUUAUGUGAUGCGCUUCAUGAGGGACAUCAUCAUGGAUCCUUCCUUGGGGUUUGAGAAUAAGGUAAGAAGAAAUUACCUUCAUACAUUUCACGUCGUUUUUUGUAUUAUCAACGACGGUCAUGUAAAAUUAACGUCGUUGAAUGGAUAUACUACGUCGGUUAUGAAAAAUAUCGUCGUCUGUGAUUGAAUUUCUUUUUAUUUAUAAACCCUAAUAGUCAUUGUUUAUGCAGUAUGCCAAGGGAAACCAGGAAGCUUCAUACCCCCAAGAAGCCAUUGAUGAAGUCCGGAAUGAAUGGGCAGAGUUUGUUUUCCAAAUUAUUAAACAGGGCAAUUAUUGAACACUUGAUAUUUAUGUAUAAUGUACCAAUUUUCUCUAUAAUAUGUAAUGUAAAAAUUUGUUGAGGUUUUCUUAAAUUAAAAAAAAAACAAACAUACAAAUUGCUUAACCGACGUGUAAUACUUUUCCAACGACCUAAUAAAGUCACAAACCGUCGUAUUUUGUUGUUUCGUGUUUUAAACAAUUACGACGUAAAAAAAUAGUUAGACGACGUUCUUUGAACAAUUGAGUCGUUAAUGGUUUACAAUAUCUUCAAUUUCUUAAGGGUUCAGGGUAUAAUCGACGACGUUUAUGUAACGACUGCGGUUAAGUCGUAAAAUAUAUAUUUUACGUCGUAUAGUUAAAUAGCCGCCAUGGUUUUUCAUUUUAACGACGUCAUUUUAACGACUUAGUAGUCUAUUACAAUUUACAACGUCUACAAUUUAUUAACACCGACGUGGUUUGUUGUUGUGGUAAGAAUAUUUUAUUAUUUUUAUAUCAAAAUAUUCAAAAUAAAUUUAAAAUAAAUCAGAAAAUUGAAAAGUCAACUCCUAUGAAGUCAUUGAUAUAUUUUCUUCCACAUAAACCUUGAAAAAAUUCAUUUUGAAUAACAAAAAUUUAAAAUGACCAUCCAAAACAAAAUUGUUUUGAUGACUCAUAAAAUCACUUCUAGUUUUAUGGUUUAGGGUUUAGAGUCUAGGGUUUAGAGAUUAGGGUUGUUAUUUAUUGGGGUUUAUUUUUAAAGUAUAAUUUUUGGGUAGUCUAGGGUAUAUGUUAGGCUUUAAAACCAUAAAACCUUUUAUAAACUUAAUUUUUUAAAUUGUAUAAUUUAAUUUUAUGGGUUUAGGGUAUUAAUUUUUAACGACGGUGGUUGGGUCGUGGAAUACAUAUUUUACGUCGUACAGUAAAACAUACGACAUGGUUUACGCUUUAAACGACGUCAUUUUAAUAUGUAAGUCGGUUUAUAUAAUUUACAACGUCAACGUCUUUAAUUUCUUAACACCGACGUGGUUUUUCAGUCGUCGUUAUAUAAAAAAUUCAAAAUAAAUUUAAAAUUAAUCCGAAAAAUGAACGGCCUUACGUUCUUAAUCCGAAAAAUGAAGUUUCCGUCGUGGAAUAUUAAAUUUACGUCGGUACUUGUAGAACUUUCGCCUUGGUUUUUCUUUCGACGUUUUAAAACGCGCGCGCUCUAAAAAUUUUCGCGCGACCUAAACUUUUUUAGAUUUGGCUCUUAUUCUUAUACUUCGAACCCUGAAACCUAAAANNNNNNNNNNNNNNNNNNNNNNNNNNNNNNNNNNNNNNNNNNNNNNNNNNNNNNNNNNNNNNNNNNNNNNNNNNNNNNNNNNNNNNNNNNNNNNNNNNNNNNNNNNNNNNNNNNNNNNNNNNNNNNNNNNNNNNNNNNNNNNNNNNNNNNNNNNNNNNNNNNNNNNNNNNNNNNNNNNNNNNNNNNNNNNNNNNNNNNNNNNNNNNNNNNNNNNNNNNNNNNNNNNNNNNNNNNNNNNNNNNNNNNNNNNNNNNNNNNNNNNNNNNNNNNNNNNNNNNNNNNNNNNNNNNNNNNNNNNNNNNNNNNNNNNNNNNNNNNNNNNNNNNNNNNNNNNNNNNNNNNNNNNNNNNNNNNNNNNNNNNNNNNNNNNNNNNNNNNNNNNNNNNNNNNNNNNNNNNNNNNNNNNNNNNNNNNNNNNNNNNNNNNNNNNNNNNNNNNNNNNNNNNNNNNNNNNNNNNNNNNNNNNNNNNNNNNNNNNNNNNNNNNNNNNNNNNNNNNNNNNNNNNNNNNNNNNNNNNNNNNNNNNNNNNNNNNNNNNNNNNNNNNNNNNNNNNNNNNNNNNNNNNNNNNNNNNNNNNNNNNNNNNNNNNNNNNNNNNNNNNCUGUUUUUGUUUAAAACCCGUCGUCUCAUGUUGUUUAUACCUUGCGAUUAGAUCAUGUAUAAUCUGCUAUAGUGAUGGUCAUGCCUGUAUUUUCACUUUUAUAUAGAUAAUAGGUUAUAGUGUCGGAGAUGGAUAAGUCAUGGAUGCACUCGGAUAGAAGAUCGAAGGCAUAUGAGUUUGGGGUGGAAGCAUUUUUGAACUUUGCUGUAGAAAAUCUUCUAACUACAACACAUAUCCGUUGUCCAUGUGUUAAAUGUGUUAAUUUGAAGUUGUUUGGGGUUGGAAUUAUAAGGGAUCACUUAUACUUUAAUGGAAUUGACCAAAGCUAUAAGAAUUGGACAUUUCACGGAGAACCUUGGGAAGCAACUACUAAUGCUAGCAGAAAUGUUGAAGAAGAUGAUGGCCAUAGUAGGUACAGUUUUGUGUCUGAAGAAAUUGAUAUGGAUGAUAAUGAUUUUGGUGAUUUUGGUUCGGAUCCGUAUGAGUUUGCCAAUGUGAUUGGGGAUGGAGAUCAACCAGUGUACCCUGGUUGUAGAAAGUACACGAAGUUAUCGGCAUUAGUGAAGUUGUAUAAUUUGAAGGCAAAACAUGGGAUGAGUGAUGUCUGUUUUACAGAAUUAUUGAUACUUCAAGGCGAUUUGCUUCCAGAAGGAAAUACAAUACCAACCUCCAUGUAUGAGGCUAAAAAGACUUUGUGUGCAUUGGGGCUGAGUUAUGAGAAAAUGCACGCAUGCCCCAAUGAUUGCAUCUUGUAUAGGAAGGAGUAUGAGGAUUCAACUAAUUGUCCUACUUGUGGUAUCUCAAGGUGGAAGGAAGGCAAAGAUGCAAUCUUGAAAGAGGGUGUGCCAGCGAAGGUGGUGUGGUAUUUUCCCCCAAUUCCAAGGUUUAAAAGGAUGUUUCAAUCACAUGAGACAGCUAAGAGUUUGACUUGGUGGCAUGUUGCUAGAAAAUCAAUUGACGGUCAGAUGUCUCAUCCGGCGGAUUCCCCGUCUUGGAAACUUCUUGAUGAUAAAUGGCCUGAGUUUGGUAAUGAGCCGAGAAACUUGAGAUUGGCUCUUUCAUCUGAUGGAUUCAAUCCCCACAGUUCUCUAAGUAGCAGAUAUAGUUGUUGGCCGGUUAUCUUAGUUACAUAUAAUCUCCCUCCAUGGCUGUGCAUGAAACGAAAGUUCAUGAUGUUAACCUUAUUGAUUUCCGAUCCUAAACAACCCGGAAAUGAUAUAGACGUCUACUUGGAGCCUUUGAUUGAUGAUUUAAAAUCCUUGUGGGUUGGGAUUAGAGGAGUGUAUGAUGCACAUAAUGGAGAAUACUUUACACUCAGAGCUGCAUUAAUGUGGACAAUUAAUGAUUUCCCCGCCUAUGGAAACUUAUCUGGUUGUGUUGUUAAAGGAUAUAAAGCUUGUCCAAUAUGCGGCGAUGAUACACCUAGUCAAACAAAUAUUUUUUGUUGACGACCCGAUGCAUCGUGGUUGGUCGUGUAGGCGUGUGAGUGUGUGUUUGUGUUUGUUUUUGUGUGUGUGUGUGUGUGUGUGUGUGGUGUGUGUGUGUGUGUGUGUACCAUUACUNNNNNNNNNNNNNNNNNNNNNNNNNNNNNNNNNNNNNNNNNNNNNNNNNNNNNNNNNNNNNNNNNNNNNNNNNNNNNNNNNNNNNNNNNNNNNNNNNNNNAUGUAAUUGGCAGUGUAUGACAUUAAUUUUGUAAUAUAUUGUAAUGUGAUUUCUUCACUUUCUACGUUCAAAUAAAACACGACGUUAUUGUGAAUCAGUUAUUCAGCAUAUUUACCGACGUCUUAAAGCAACGUAACAAUGAAGAACCACGACGCUAUUGUGAAGCAAUUAUUCAGGAUAUCACGUCGGUGAAGGAUAAAGAACCGCCAUGUAAUUCAAAAUAACACGACUCCAAUCCCAUAAUACCGACGUCUAAAAAACGAGAUAUGUAAUCUGAACGUUAAAAAAUACGACGUCAUCAUACAUUUUCCACGUCGCAAGUUCUUUUAUAAACGAAGAGGAACGAAAUUAAUUCCGACGGAAAUUCAUUAUAACCGCCGUCUAAUAACAAUUAAACGACGUUAUUUGUAAUACGGCUCCCAUCAUAAUCUACGCCGUCUAUAUGUUCUGUAAUACGGCUCUCAUUUAUUUGGAACCGACGUUGUUUAGACGUUCAACGUCGUCUAUAUUAUUAAGUGCGUCGUGAGUAAUGAAUACAUAUAAAUACAACGUCGACUAUAUAAAUGUAUACGUCGUAAAUAAUGACACUGACAACUAUUUCCACGUCAUCUUUUUUAGAUAAAAUCGAAGUGGAAAAUUUAUUUCACGACGGUUUUUUGUAAAUAAGAGACGUUGUAGAACUUUAGCAGACUAAACACGUCUGUUUUUAUUGUUUUCCGACGUUGUUGUAUUUAACAACGUCUAAUAUUUAUGGUCGUUGUUUGUUUCUGAAAAUAGGACGUAUAAAUUUUUUAAUACGACUCUCAUAUAUUUGUAACUGACGUUGUUUAGUUUUUCAACGUCUACUAUAGAAACACAUACGUCGUAAAUAAUGACACUGACAACUAUUUCCACGUCAUCUUUUAUCAAAAAAUCGAAGUGGAAAAUUAAUUGUACGACGGUUGUGUUUAUAUGUGCGACGUAGUAGGUAUCAAUAACAUCGUCUUCUAAUGUAUUUAAAGACGUCAUAUUUUUUAUUGUCGUGAAAAUUAUAUUUAACGUCGGCGUAUUUUUAUUGUCGUCGUUGUAUGUCUAUCUUGCGGCCUUGUUCUCUUAAUAUGUGUCAUAUUUUCCCUUUUUAACGACGGUCUUUUUAGAGAAUUGGUCGUCUAUUAUCAUCAUCGAUUGCUUUUUUUAGAUCUUUUUGCAGUACAAAGACGUCGUUUUGUAUUUUUUGAUGACGUUGUAUUGUUUAACAACGACGGUUAUUUAGCGUCGUGGUUUAUGAGGGAAAAGAUGACGGUGGAUUCCACGACCAUUGAAAAACCAAAUACACGACGGUGAUUUACCGUCGUCUUUUUGCUUUUUUGUAGUAGUGAUCGGAAACUUGACUAAUUAGAAUACAACAUAUGUCGAAAUAUUUUUAUCAUAAAUGGUCUCUAAGGUUCGUGAAAUUAUUAGCUUUAGUCCUUCAUGUUUUUUUGUGACAUCAUUGGUCCUUUAUGUUACUCCUCUUCACACAUCAAUUUGGUUCUGCCGUUUGGAUUCGUCAAAAUUUAUGUUAAAUUGAUGGCAUGACAUGUAUAUGGUGCCUACAUAUCCAAUGAGAUAAUGACCCGUGGAUCUAAGUAAAAAAUUUGUUUUAAAAAAAUAGUUUCAUAUUUAAAAUUUUUAAAGGGCGAAGACUCAUUGGGUAACUCGAAGUUUGGGUUGUUGAAGCCUUCAAGCAUGGUUUUGCUCACAAAAGAUUGGAACGCAAUGUGUUGGGUUGAGCACUGAAAACCAAAGAAUAUCAAAAAUGUAGUAGGGGGGAGAGAGAGAGAGAGANNNNNNNNNNNNNNNNNNNNNNNNNNNNNNNNNNNNNNNNNNNNNNNNNNNNNNNNNNNNNNNNNNNNNNNNNNNNNNNNNNNNNNNNNNNNNNNNNNNNACCUCAUGUCAGCACUUAAUAGAAAAUUUGACGGACCCUAACGGCAUGGAUCAAAUUGAUGUGUGGUGUGUAACAAAAAGGAUCAAUAAUGUCACAAAAAACAUAAAGGACCAAAGUUGAUAAUUUUGCGAACCUUAUACACCAUUUAUGAUAAAAACCCUAUAUUGUAUAAUUUUAGUGUGUUUUUUUCUUAAAUGCUAUUGAGAAGAGAUUUUAUAAAACUGCUAUAUAAAAGGUUCACCACAAUGCUAUAAAACAAUAGUAGAUUAUGGCUCUCAGAUGUUUUCAUCUUCUUAUUCAUCCAAGCAGAUCGAUAACAUAUGGUCACUACUGACUUUUUCUUGUAGUUCUCAACAUCCAUCUUUCAAGCCAUCAACCAAGUUGUUGCAUUGCUCCUCACUGUUAGAAAAGCCUCGUUUCCCUCCUCCUCCUCCAUUGAUUGAAGGAGAGACAACAAAAGCAACUUAUGAAACAAGCCCCUCAUUUCCUUGUUAAACAUAAAUCGACCCAUUAUUGAUGAGGACUGAGAAUCUAAGAGCACACUAGUAAUUAACCUGAGUGGGGAAUAUGGAUGAUGGAUCUCUCUCUCUCUCUCUCUCUCUUGAAAAAAUCAACUUCAUUAUCCUUGGUGAAUUUGUUCUGAAUUAGUCGUGUCCAGCUACAAGCAAUACUGUACGUAGUAUAUUAUUCUCUGCAUUUGUGCAUGCCAACAACAAACAAAUAUUAUUCUCUAUUAUAGCAUAUAGGCCGUCAUUUUCAAUCCUUAUAAGAGAAAACUUGCUUCGCCAUAAGAGUACGUAGCUUGGCAAGCAAGGUAAGGGUACUUCAAAAGAUUCCUUCCAUCAUCUAUAUAAGACACAUGUGACAUUGCAUGUCUCAUCAAUCAUGUUAAGAUAAAGCUAGCUGGCAAGGCAAAUUACCAACCUUUAUGCUCGAGUAUAUUAUUCCAAGCAGAUAUAAAUGUUAAUAUAUGUGAAGAAUAUUAUGAUCAAUAUAGAAUAUGUAUCAUGAUCAGUUAUGGUAUCGACUGUCAGAAAAUAUCAUCCGCAUAUGUGCAUACCAACAUUAUCGAAAGACAGUAGGAGUAUCGUCAUAUCCGAUACAAGUAUCGGAGCAUGGGUAAGAGUAUAUAUACAAGCAUACCCGUCCAAUUAGGAGAAUCAGUGCAACAUAGAUGAAAAGAAAUUAGAUGUGAUUUCACAUAUUUUUAAAGAAUAGGGGAAAUAAACCAAUUAAUCUCUUUUGUCUUCUCCAUACAUUUUUGGUUGUGAAUUUUGGUUUUCGAAGAAUUUGGCAUUUCAAGCAACUUGGAAAACAUUUUGAUGAUCCAUUGAACCUUGUUAAAGUCGAUAUUCAAUCUCUAUGGACUUUGGCCGAAAUGUCUCAUUUCAAUUGGAAAGUGACAUUGAGAUUUGAAAAGACUAGACAUUAAGGUGGCAAGAGAAGUCUAAAAGGAUCAAACAGAAAAAAAUAAUGAAAAAUUGAAAAUAACCUAGAAAGGGGAGAAAAAAUUAGUUGCAAUAGGGAUAAUAAUGUUUGAGUAAUGCUAAACGAACUCUAAAAUUAACUUAGUACACCCUACUAUCAAACUAUUUAUUGAAUUACUAAUUUACCCUAAUAUAAAAUGACCAAAAAGGAUAUAUUGAAUUGUGCAGCAAAUGUAAUUUUAAUAAGUACACAUUACUCACCAUAUUCAACCCUAAUAUUCGAUGGAGGCGACAUUGAAUGCUAUGAAUCCAACCCAAACCCACCACCACCGUCCCUCUCUCUCUCUCUCUCUCUCUCUCUCUCUCUCUCUCUCUCUCUCUCACAAAUUAUCUUAUUUGCUCUAAAUUUUUUGCAAUGAGUCAGAAUCUUCUAUGUGUAUGUGGCAUUCGUUCAUUAGACUUGGUUAAUGCAUUCAACCCACCCAAAACAAUAAUCAUUUGAUGUUCAUCCUCGAUGUUGGUGGUUUCAAGUGAGCAUGUUCCCAAACGGCUCUUACACUUGCCCACUAGAACUCCAGCUCCUCACCCUCUGAUGAAUCUAAUGACAAUUAUGUUGUUGUUUGCACCAUAAACACCAACUUCCAACAACUCCAAUACAACCUAUUUCUUCUUAAUUAGAUACCUUGGGGGUUGAUAGCAACCUCAAUAGUCUAAGAAACAAACCCACUUCGGAAUUUUCCUUCUUCCACUAGUUGAAGGGAGAUGGGUUCCAACACGAUAUUACGCGCUUAUUAGAAUCUUAUACUCGUCGAGUCUGGGUUGGCUGGUGAUAAGCAGGGGAAGGGUGGAGUUGGGUUGUGUUAGAGAGAGAGAGAGAGAGAGAGAGAGAGAGAGAGAGAGAGAGAAAGAGAAAGAGAGAGAGAAGGGCGGUAGUGGUUGGGUUGGGUUGGAUGCGAAAGGGCUUAAAUCAGAGGAGGAAGGACGGGUUUGGCUGGGUGGGUGACAGGACCCGACCCAAUUUCCGCUUUGGAAUCCGAGCUGAAUCCUGUGCGUGUCCGACACCUGGCGAAUGUCGGGCACGAAUGACCUUUUUACCCUUCUCUUUUCAAAUUCUUUUUUUUUUUAAACUUCCCUUAGACUUCUACCGAAAAUUCGACAGAGUCUCCCCUGUAUUUUGACCAAACCCAAAGUCUUCCACCUGUCAAACAGUCUCAAAUAACACACCAACUACCAGACUAACUCAACCAACAGAUCUCAACUCCAGUUUCUCAUGUUCAACAAGAUAUCAAAGCAUUUCUAUACAAAUUUACAGAACUAUGAGAAAGUUACAACGAGAUCCUACACUUUGGGGGUGGGGCGAAAGCUGGGAAGAUGGCCCGAGUGGUUUCCUUCGUACUUCUAUGGCCUGGGGGCGAAAAACAAGGUUAAAAUUGUGAGUGGACAAAAAUAAAAUUCUUUAAAACAAAAACAAGUUAGAACAUAAUAACCCCCGUUUUGAAAUACUAGGGAUAUAAAUCGUUAAUUUAGCUAUAUUUCAAUAUAAGGAAUUCAAUAAACAUGAAUAAAUAUACUGACGAAUAAACUUGCAUAACUGAUCAAAUAUAUAUAAAGAUAAUAACGCAUGAAUAUCAAGAAACUGGUAUAAAAUCACGGGAAAUCAUAACUGGAUAAAAGAGCUCAAAAUCCUUUGAAACUACCACCUAGAUGUACCCCUGUCAUAUCCGUCAAUUCCCCUGGCAGGUCUCGGGCGUCACGCAGUCUACCCGAGCCGCAAACUGGCGAAAUCAAGGGACUAUGAUCAGCCUGAUCCGCCGGCAGGUCUCGAUGACACCAAGUCGACUCGAGCCGCUCUGGCAGGAUGCAGGGGACCGCAGUCAGCCUGAUCCGCAAUCCUGGCAGGUCUCGGGGACACAGAGUCAGCCGAGCCGCAAAUCCUGGCAGGUCUCGGGACACCAAGUCUGCCGAGCCGCAAAUUCUGGCACUCACGGUCCGAGCGUCCCCGAAACUCGUGAGGCAAAGUCAAGUGCACUGACGUAACUGAAAUCAGACUGGAUGUUCGUAGACAUCGGUCCGACUGUGGGUAAUCACCAUAAAUAGAUGGGUACAUGGUGGUUUAACAAGAAAUUCUGAUAACUCUCUGAAAUCUGAUAAGUCUGAACUAAAUUACUAUCUUUGUAUCAAAAGUCUCAAGUUUACUGCUCAACCAAUAUUAUAAAAAUAAAGAUAUUUCACAAUGCAAAUCAUGCUUCGAAAUUACGUAAUAACACUUAUUCAAGAUCAAAUAGAAAAUAUAAUUAUAAAAUCUUUUAGGAAAGAAAAGUCCACUCACUGUUGGUCCGAGCUAUCUGGACCCUUCGAAGAUCCCUCAUGUGGGUCAACUGGACCUCUGGUGCCUUACUCGAUUGAUUUGGUGGAGAAUUGAAGGAGAACGAAGGAGAUGAAGUUUGGAUGAAAAACAGGCGGAAAUCGCCAGUUUCCGGCCAAUUCCCGGCGGUCCAAGGCCGGCGACGGGUCGAGGAAGGGAGGCGGCGGCGAGGCGGACCGAUUGACACCAACGGCGGAGGUCGCCGUGCCCUGUAGCGACGGCACGCUCGAUCUGAAACAGGGAGGGGGGCGGCGGUUGCGACGGGAGAGAGAGAGAGAGAGGAGAGAGAAAUGAGGAGAGAGAAGAGAGAAGGAAGAGAUAAAAUCUGACUUUUUUUUCAAAUUACCGUUUUGCCCUUCGAGGUAAUUUAAUCGUAUCUUCUUCAUUACAAUUCCAAUUCGGGUCUACUCCGUGUCUACGGACUCGUUUCGCCGUGCUCUACGCAACGGCGCAAGCGAAAUUCUCAAAUUCUUUCUUGAUCAAAAAGUCAAAUUUUCCCCUAUUAAAAUAUGCGAGGGCAAAAUCGUCUUUUGGGUAGAAUAAAGAAAUCCUAAUUUUUAGAUAUUUUAGUUUGGGUUAUUACAGUGGGGGGUGGAGAGAUGAUGGGAGGUCGAUUUAACAGGGUUAAGUGUUGUUAAGUGGUUUACCACAUGUCAAAAAAAUAGAAGGAAAACAUGUCGGGCACAUGGCAUUUGGUAACAGUAAAAUUGGACUCAUGAAUGAGUUAGGUGUUGUGUGAUAGAGUGUAUUAGGGUGUACCAUGGGUAUUUUUAGUAGUUAAAUAGGAUGUACUGAGUUAAUUUUAUAAUUUGAUUUAAAUAUUAGGGUAUACUUAGAUCAUAGGGUGUACUCAGUUAAUUUUAAGGUUUGUUUAGCAACAUUCUAAUGUUUUGUUAUCCCCGGUCAAUAAUUUUAUAUCGUGUGGCUUAGAAGGAGGCCUGUUAUCCAACUCAUCUGGUCCACCGUCCAUGAUAUGAACCCGACUUGAGAAUCUUUUGGUGAAGUAGAACAACCCAACUUGAGAGUUGAGGCAGCCAAACUAGAAGGGAAGCAUCCCCACUCCAGUCCCGCUCCCCAUGUGCCCAAUACUUUGCUUGUUUACUUCACCUUUUAAACCUUUUAGGAUUUUCCAUAGGCUAAGAGGAAAACAACAACAUUACGGCCCAGUUUACGAAUGGAUUCGAGGGGAAAUUACUUCCCAUGCCAUUUUUUAAGGGAUGGAAAAUGGAGAUUCAUUUCCCAUAUUUGAUAAUCCUAGGAAAGUAACUAAGAAAUACUACUUUAUUUCCUUUCACAUAUUUGGUUUGUGUAGGAAUGUAAAACAAAGUUAGUUUAAUUUUUCAAUUAUAUCCAUAUGAAAUUAAAUUUUAAAAAAAAUGUAUUUAAUGCUAUAUUGUUAAUGGGGACAAUAUGGUCAUGAAAAAUGUGUAUUUAAUGUUGGCUAAUUUUCUCAAACUUUCUCAUGUGCAAGACAACGAUUUCUCAUGCCUAGACUUACCAAAUAUGGGAAAGCAAUUGAUUUCUCAUCACCAAGCCUCCUUUCCCAUGAACCAAACAGGACCUACAAGUUAUUAGCUUCAAGCCUUCAAGGAUUUUCAUAACAAAUCUUCCAAUCUCACACAAAAAUAAAAAAGCAUCCAUGUAUGUAAUUUCUAGAUUAAAAUCUCACUUUUUAGGCAUUCCAUUUUCUUAGGAUUAGGUAUUACUACGCACGGACAAUCUUACGAUUAUCUGCAAUUCAUCCUUCAAUAGCUAUGGACGUUAUAUCAAAUCAACAAUAAGACGUACAUUUCUUCAAAGAACUAAAUCAUGCGGAUGUCAACUUGCUCUCACUUAUAUGUUUGUCUCUCCAUAUGAGGAAGGGUGUUUAGCUUAAGGUUUUAGGGCGCGGUUGUCUAAGAACAAUAAGGUGAACAUGUUUUGUCAAAGUACAUGGGAGACCUUUAUCUUCAAACACAAAAAAUGGCCAAAAUUAAAUUAGCAAGGAUCGACAUAUGGAUGUGAGCUUUUACACAUUGCCACUAAUUCUCUCCAUACUUUUGUUGAAAUCAUUUACAAAAUAAGAAAACUUUAGUAAUUGAAGCGAAAGAGAAGAAUUACCAGAACAGAAAAUAAGAAAAAAGAAGCACCUAACCCAAACUUUAAGUCACGAAUUUAACAGUUUACUUUUUAAAAAAAGUAAGUUACAAAACAAUCCCCUUAUUGAUGAGGAUUGAGAAUUUAAGAGCACUAAUAACUUGAGUGAGGAAUAUUGCACAUGGACGAUGGAUCUCUCUCUCUCUCUUUGAAAAAAAAGAAAAAAGAAACAAAAAUCAACUUCAUUAUCCUUAGUGAAUUUGUUCUGGAUUAGUUGUGUUGCAAUGGAACAUCGAACCUACCUAGCUAAAAGGAAAAAAGAAAGGCCACUACGACAGUACUGCAGUAUAUUAUUCCAAGAAGACAAAUGUAAACUAUAUACGUGAAGAAUAUCUAUUAUUGGUCGUCAUUUUCAAUCCUCAUAAAAGAAAACUUACUUCGCCAUAAUUUCAGGUUGUUCUCAAGGCAGGAAGGUAAGGACACUUGAAAAGAUUCCUUCUCAUCAUCUAUACAAGGAAAUGUGUUCUCAUCAAGCUAGGGGACAAGGCAAAUUAGCAACCUUUAUACUCGAUAUAUUAUUCCAAGCAGAUAUACAUGUGAAGAAUAUUAUGAUCUUGAUCAAUAUGGAAUCAGUGGGUGUAUCGAUCGACCAUCCAAAGAAAAAGGAUAUCCUCUGCAUAUAUGUGUGCAUGCCAACAACUAUAAAAGGAGACCAUGAGGCAAUGAGUUGAUCAUCAAAGCAAACACACAGAUAUCCCAACUAAAAAUCAUUCAGUGAGACAAUGGCUGGAACCAAUGAUAUUAAAAUUAAAGGGUUCGAUUUGAGCAAAAACAGCGGCAACACGUCCGGAUUAACCCACUUCGCCAACAGAGCUGACGAGGGCGACAAGGGCGACAAUAAAAUCGAGGUUGAGGAUGCUAAAGCGCAAGAUAACAAGGGAAACUUGAAAGUACUGACCGACUUCGCCCAACGUGGUAAGGUGGGCCAGUCGGAUCGCCAAGAAAUCACGGGGAGCAAGCCACUUCAGACGGCAGCAUGAAAUUGAUGAAGGCCAUACCAUAAUAAAAUAUCUACACUAAAAUAAGAGCUGAUGCAGUAUCUGAGGCUCCUUCCUUGGUUAGGCCUCAUUAUCAUGUGCAAUACUAAUAUUAUUAUUCUAAUAAAAUAAUGGUAGCUUAUUAUUAAAUAUAUCAAAAUUCUAUACGUAUAACUUUUAGAUUAUUGAUACUGAUGACAUACCAACAAGAGAAAACGAUUCAAAAGUCCUUUCUCCAAUUCGUGAUGUUACAAAAUGAGACGUCAAAUUUAAAAAUAUAGUUGCAUACGAGUAUAAACUGAACCAAUAAGCAAUGUAUGAGUGACCAAAGGUCUCAAACGAUGCAUUUAAGAAGAAGGGUACUAAAUUAAAAGAUGUACGCCAGUGAACUAUGGCAAUCUCUCGUUGCAUGCACGCAUAUGCAAUUGAAGAAGACCUAACUUAUAUCACGAAGAAGUGGAUGGGUCUUUACAUAUGAAGUUUUUAAAAUUAACACUACCGGAAGACAAUAGGAGUAUCGGCGUAUCUGAUACAAGUAUCGGAGUCUCGGAGUAUUAGAUUUGAGCAUACCUGUCCAAAUAGGAGUAUCGGUGCAACAUAGAUGAAAAGGAAUUGGAUGUGAUUUCACAUAUUUUUAAAGAACAGGGGAAAUAAACCAAUUAAUCUCUUUCGUCUUGUCCACACAUUUCUUGUUGCAAAUUUUGGUUUUCAAAAAAUUUGGCAUUUCAAGCAACUUGGAAAACAUUUUGAUGAUCCAUUAUUGAACCUCUAAAGUCGAUAUUCAAUCCCUAUCGACCUUGCUCAAAAAAUGUCUCAUUUCAAUUAGUGCAGAGAAAAAUAAAGGCAGAGUUGAAAAUAGAUUUUUCAGUUUGGAAAGUGACAUUGAGAUGUAAAAAGACUAGACAUUAAGGUGGCAAGAGAGAUCUAACAGGAUCAGACAAAAAAGGAAAAAAAAAUGAAUGAAAAAUAGAAAAUGCCCUAGAAAGGGGAGAACAACUUAGUUGCAAUGGGGAUAACAAUAUCUUGCUAUUACUGGUCAAUAAUUUUAUACCACGUGGCCUAGAAGGAGGCCUGUUAGUCCAACUCAUCUGGUCCACUUCCCAUUAUAUGAACCCGACUUGAGAGUUUUGGUUUUUUGGUUGAAGUAGAACAACCCGACUUGAGAAUUGAGGCAGCCAAACUAGAAGGGAAGCAGCCCACUCCACUCCCGCUCCCCAUGUGCCCAGUACUUCGCUUGUUUACUUCACCUUUUAAACCUUUUAGGAUUUUUUUUAUAGGAUAAGAGGAAAACGACGACAUUACAAGUUAUUACGCAUCAACGUAUGUAAUUUCUAGAUUAAAAUCUCACUUUUUACGCAUGUCAUUAUCUUAGGAUUAUGUAUUACUACGCACUGACAAUCUUACGAUUAUCUGCAAUUCAUCCUUCAAUGACCAAAGACGUUAUAUCAAAUCAACAAUAAGACAUACAUUUCUCCAAAUAACUAAAUUAUGUGGAUUUCAACUUGCUCUCAUUUAUAUGUUUGUCUCUCUCCUCCUAUUGAUUAGCCUCUCCAUAAGAGCAAAUAUGAAAAAAGAAGCUCCCAAUCCGAACUUUAAGUCACAAGUUUAACAGUUUACUUUUAAACAAAAGCAAGUUACGAAACAAUCCCCUGAUUUCCUUGUUAAACAUCAACCGACCCAUUAUUGAUGAGGAUUGAGAAUCUAAGAGCAUAUGGACGAUGGAUCUCUCUCUCUUUUUGAAAACAAAAACAAAAACAAAAAACAAAAAUCAACUUCAUUAUCCUUGGUGAAUUUGUUCUGGAUUAGUUGUUUUGAAUUAGUACAGCUUACGUACGCAAUGGAACAUCGAACUUAGCUAGCUAAAAGGAAAAAAGAAAGGCCACUACUACAGUACCGCAGUAUAUUAUUCCAAGAAGACAAAUGUAAACUAUAUACGUGAAGAAUCUCUAGUAUUGGUCGUCAUUUUCAAUCCUUAUAAAAGAAAGCUUGCUUCGCCAUAAUUUCAGGUUGUUCUCAAGGCAGGCAGAGAGAGUACGUAGCUUGGCAAGAAAGGUAAGGGCACUUCAAAAGAUUGUUUCUCAUCAUCUAUAUGAGGAAAUGUGUUGCCAUCAAGCUAGCGGACAAGGCAAAUUAGCAACCUUUAUACUCGAUAUAUUAUUCCAAGCAGAUAUACAUGUAAAUAUAUGUGAAGAAUAUUAUGAUCAUGAUCAAUAUAGAAUCUGUAUCAUGAUCAGAGGGUAUCGAUCCAGCAUCCAAAGAAAAAGGAUAUACUCUGCAUAUGUGCAUGCCAACAACUAUAAAAGGAGACCAUGAGGCAAUGAGUCGAUCAUCAACGGAAACACACAGAUAUCCCAACUAAAAAUCCAUCGUGAGACAAUGGCUGGAACCAAUGAUAUUAAAAUUAAGGGGUUUGAUUUGAGCAACAACAAAGGCAACACGUCGGGAUUAACCCACUUCGCCAACAGAGCUGACGGGGGCGACAAUGGCAACAAUAAAAUCGAGGUUGAGGAUGCUAAAGGGCAAGGGAACACGGGAAACUUGAAAGUACUGACCGACUUCGCCCAACGCGGUAAAGUGGGCCAGUCGGAUCGCCAAGAACUACUCAAACCUCAGGCAUGAAAUUGAAGAAGGCCAGACCACAACAACUUGUCUGCUUGAUAGAUAUAUGUGCUAAAUUAUCUACACAAAAAUAAGAGCUGAUGUUUUAUCUGAGGCUCCUUCCUUGGUUAGGCCUCGUUAUCAUGUGUAAUAUUAAUAUUAUUAUUCUAAUAAAAUAAUGGUAGCUUAUUAUUAAAUAUAUCAAAAUUCUAUACGUAUAACUUUUAGAUUAUUGAUACUGAUGUCAACAAGAGAAAAUGAUUAAAAAGUCCUUUCUCCAAUUCGUGAUGUUACAAAAUGAGACUUCAAAUUUUAAAACUAUAGUUGCAUACGAGUACAAAACUGAACCAAACAAUGUAUGGGCCAGAGUGACCAAGGAUGUACGCCAGUGAACUAAUGGCAAUCUCUCGUUGCAUGCACGCAUAUGCAAUUGAAGGAGGCAUUAUCUGAGGCUCCUUCCUUGGCUAGGCCUCAUUUUCAAUUUUGAUUUCAACUUUGAUUUUGCUUAAACUUUGAUUUUGAGCUAGACUGUGAUUUCGACUUUGAUCUCCCAAUUCGUGCCUUAAGAAUCAGUUUCUCCCAACUCUAUUUACCAAAACCGAAAACUCUGAACUUUUCAAUUCGUCUGGCUACUCUCAGGGUUUCAUGCCUUAGUUUCCUCUCGCCAAAAAGCCAAAAAGACUUGGCUUUCAUGUAAUGCUAUACUCCUCGAUUGAACAAGCCGCGUCUUCAAAUUCAGCUUUCUCACUUCCUUUCUCUUUACUUUCUUUCUUUUGUUUUCCGGCUGGGAAAAUCAUGGAAGCAUUACAAAUUUAAGAGAAUAUUCUAGUAUUAGGGUCCAAACUGUACUAUUUAGGUAUUUUCAUUCUGAUUAAGAGUUCUUUUCUAGAAAUUUGGGGAAGAAAAAAUAGAGUUUCUGUUUUAGUGUUUGAUUUUCAUUACAGUGAAUUAUGUGAAACCGAAAUGUUUCUUGUCUGAUUUCAUCACUGCUUUCAAAUUGCAAAUUAAGGAUUUGAAGGUUAACAAUGCCCGUCUUUAACAAUGUCGCAUUUCAAUUAGUACAAAAGAAAAAUAAAGGCAUAGUUGAAAAUAGAUUUUUCAGUUUCGAAAGUGACAUUGAGAUUUAAAAAGACUAGACAUUAAGAUGGCAAGAGAGAUCUAAAAGGAUCAAACAAAAAAAGUGAAUGAAAAAUUGAAAAUGCCCUAGAAAGGGAGGAAAUCUUAGUUGCAAUGGGGAUAACAAUGUUUUGCUAUCCUCGAACAAUAAUUUUACACCACGUGACCUAGAAGGAGGCAUGUUAAUCUAACUCAUCUGGUCCACCGUCCAUGAUAUGAACCCGACUUGUGAGUUUUUUUUUUUUUUUGUUGAAGUAGAACAACCAAACUUGAGAGUUGAUGUCACAUCUCAGGAUCGGCUUCACCGUAGCACGAUAUUGUCUGCUUUGGGCCCCCUCGCUGUCCUCGCGGUUUUGUUUCUAGGAGCUCACGAGCAACUUCUCAGUUGGUCACUCAUCUUAGGAUUGCUCUGGCCCAAACUCACUUAACUUCGGAGUUCUCAUGACUCCGAAGCUAGUGAGCUCCUAAAAGGCCUCGUACUAAAUGGAAGUGGGCAUAUAUAUAUAAGGCACAACACCCCAUCUUCGUUGGUUGAUGUGGAAUGUUACAAUCCACCCCCCUUAGAGGUCUGACUUCCUCGUCGGCACACUCUCACCACACGGCAGAGUGGCUCUGAUACCAAACUGUCACAUCCCGGGAACGGCUCCGUCGUAGCACGAUAUUGUCCGCAUUGGGCCAACCUUUCUGCCCUCACGGUUUUGUUACUGGGAGCUCACGAGCAACUUCCCAGUGAAUCACUCAUCCUGGGAUUGCUCUAGCCCAAACUCGCUUCACUUCGGAGUUCCUAUGACUCCGAAGCCAAUUAGCUCCCAAAAGACCUCGUGCUAGAUAAAGGUGGGCACGUACAUAUAAGGCACAUCACCUUCUCUUCGUUGAUCGAUGUGGGAUGUUACAGUUGAGGGCUCCGUUGGUCGAUGUAGGAUGUUACAGUUGAGGCAGCCAAACUAGAAGGGAAGCAACCCAACUCCACUCCCUCUCCCCAUGUGCCCAGUUCUCUGCUCGUUUACUUCACCUUUUAAACAUUUUAGGAUUUUCCAUAAGCAAAGAGGAGAACGACCACAUUACGGUCUCGUUUGGUUCACGAACAGAUUUAAGGGGAAAUAACUUCUCAUGUCAUUUCUCAAGGGAUGAGAAAUGGAGAUUCAUUUCCCAUAUUUGGUAAUCCUAGGAAAAUAACAAAGAAAUACCACUUUAUUUCCUUUCACAUGUUUGGUUUGUCUAGGAAUGUAAAACAAAGUUUGUUUAAUUUUCCAAUUAUACCGAUAUGAAAUCAAAUAAAAAAAGAAUAUUUAAUGUUAUAUUGUAAUUCUAAACUGUUAAUAGGGACAAUAUGAUCAUGAAAAAUGUGUAUUUAAUGUUGGCUCAUUUGCUUAUUUUCCCAAACUUUCACAUGAGGAGGAAAACAAAACCCAAGGGGGGAGGAUGGCUUCACUUUCCCCUCUACUUUCCCAUGUACAAGGCAACGAUUUCUCAAGUCUGGACUUACCAUACAUGGGAAAGAAAUUAAUUUCUCAUCCCCAAGUCAUUUUUCCCAUAAACCAAACGGAGCCUACAGGUUAUAAGCUUCAACCUUUAAGGAUUUUCAUAACAAAUCUUGCAAUCUCAUACCAAGGAAAUAAAAAUAAAAAAAAGGAUCCAUGCGUGUAAUUUCUAGAUUAAAAUCUCACUUUUUACGCAUGCCAUUAUCUAAGGAUUAGGUAUGACUACACACGAACAAUCUUACAAUUAUCUGCAAUUCGUCCUUCAAUGGCCAAAGACGUUAUAUCAAAUGAACAAUAAGACGUACAUUUCUUCAAAGAACUAAAUUAUGUGGAUUUCAACUUGCUCUCACUUAUAUGUUUCUCUCUCUCCUCCUAUUGUUUAGCUUAAGGUUUUAGGGCGUGGUUGUCUAAGAACAAUAAGGUAAACAUGCUUACAAAAAAAGAUGGACAGCAAGGAUGGACAUAUGCGAAUGUGAGCUUUUACACAUUGCCACUAAUUUUCUCCAUGAUUUUGUUGAAAUCAUUAACAAAAUAAGAAACUUUAGUAAUUGAAGCGAAAGAGACUAAUUAUCAGAAGAGAAAAUAUGAAAAAAGAAGCUCCCAAUCCAAACUUUAAGUCACAAGUUUAACAGUUUACUUUAAAACAAAAGCAAGUUACGAAACAAUCCCCUGAUUUCCUUGUUAAACAUCAACCGACCCAUUAUUGAUGAGGAUUGAGAAUCUAAGAGCAUAUGGACGAUGGAUCUCUCUCUCUUUUUGAAAACAAAAACAAAAACAAAAAUCAACUUCAUUAUCCUUAGUGAAUUUGUUCGGGAUUAGUUGUGUUGAAUUAGUACAGCUUACUUACGCAAUCGAAUAUCAAACCUAGCUAGCUAAAAAGAGAAAAAGAAAGGCCACAACGACAGUACUGUAGUAUACGUGAAGAAUCUUAUGAUCUAUAAUAUUCUGUAUUAUUGGCCAUCAUUUUCAAUCCUUAUUAAAGAAAACUUGCUUCGCCAUAAUUUCAAGUUGUUCUGAAGGCAGGCAUAGAGAGCACGUAGCUUGGCAAGGGAGGUAAGGGCACUUCGAAAGAUUCCUUCUCAUCAUCUAUACAAGGAAAUGUGUUCUCAUCAAGCUACGGGACAAGGCAAAUUAGCAACCUUUAUACUCAGAUAUAUUAUUCCAAGCAGAUAAACAUGUAAAUAUAUGUGAAGAAUAUUAUGAUAAUGAUCAAUAUAGAAUCUGUAACAUUAUCAGAGGGGUAUCGAUCGACCAUCCAAAGAAAAGGAUAUCCUCUGCAUAUGUGCAUGCCAACAACUAUAAAAGGAGACCAUGAGGCAAUGAAUCAUCAAAGCAAAGACACAGAUAUCCCAACUAAAAAUCAAUCAGUGAGACAAUGGCUGGAACUGGAACCAAUGAUAUUAAAAUUAAAGGGUUCGAUUUGAGCAACAACAGCGGCAACACGUCGGGAUUAACCCACUUCGCCAACAGAGCUGAUGGGGGCGACAAGGGCGACAAUAAAAUCGAGGUUGAGGGUGCUAAAGCGCAAGAUAACAAGGGAAACUUGAAAGUACUUACCGAUUUCGCCCAACGCGGUGAAGUGGGCAGGUCGGAUCGCCAAGAACUUCUCAAGCCUCAGGCAUGAAAUUGAAGAAGGCCAUACCAUAUAUGUGCUGAAUUAUCUACACAAAAAUAAGAGCUGAUGUUUUAUCUGAGGCUCCUUCCUUGGUUAGGCCUCGUUAUCAUGUGUAAUAUUAAUAUUAUUAUUCUAAUAAAAUAAUGGCAGCUUAUUAUUAAAUAUAUCAAAAUUCUAUACGUAUAACUUUUAGAUUCUUGAGUGGGAAACCCUAGCUGCAUUCUGGUCCCUUUUCUUCUUGCCGACAACCAACCACAAGGAAACUAAAGGGGGAGGUGGCCACUGCCCCUCCCCCCCUUCGCCCAUCUUCCCUUUCUCUCCUCAUCUUCCCUUCUUUUUCUCCCAUCUUUUCCCUUCCUCUUAUGCCCUCUUCUCUUCCCAUUCCCUUUCCCAUAUAGUCUAGAUCUAUUUGGAUCUAGGUUUUGUUUGUUUGUUUGUUUGGUUUGGUUUGGUUGUUUUUGCAGUAUUCUAGGUGACUGGUAGUGACGUUGGAUUGUGUCUAUUAUCGGGAGAGUUGUGAUACCUAGUGGCUGAUGUUUUGUCUCUGUUUCAACGACGGCGGCAGUAGCGACACUAGUGAUAGUUAUUGGAUGUGGUGCUCUUCUUUAUUCUGCACUUACCGAAGAACUAUGCUUGGUCAUAGGAGGUUUUCUUUGUCAGAUUCUGAGUUGAAGUGGAGUGCUUCUUAGGGGUCCUUUUAUUGUUGCUUCUAUGUUCCUCCUCUGUGUUCUCUCCUGUUUUCUGUUAUGGUAUGCCUUGUAGUUUGUAUGGGUGUCAAAAUACUAUGAUUUUGCUCAUAGAAGGCUUCUUUUGACAGUUGGGAUAUUCUACGAUCCUCUUCUGUGGGUUUACUAUUUGGGGUUUCUGUCGUUCUCUCAUGUGGGUGUACUAUGUUGGUAUCUAGUUGAGGUUUUCGUCGGAGUUCUUUUUGUUAGUUUUCGUUUUUGAUUUGUUCUUUUAUUGUAAUGGUCCAAAGCGACCAGAAUUAAACUCUCUUGUUAGUCCAUGACAUGUGUGGUACUCUUUUCUCCCCGGGGUUUGUCCCUUGAGAUUGCCCUAGGAAGGUUUUAACGAGGCCACUAUAUCAUGUUGCUCAUUGUACGUCUUUGGUUCUAUUAAUUAAUUCUCUUUCUUAAAAAUAACAAAAAUAAAUAAAUAAAUAAAUAAAAAUUUAGAUUAUUGAUAACGAUGUCAACAAGAGAAAAUGAUUAAAAAGUCCUUUCUCCAAUUCGUGAUGUUACAAAAUGAGACUUCAAAUUGUAAAACUAUAGUUGGAUACGAGUAUAAAACUGAACCAGGCAAUGUAUGGGCCAGAGUGACCAAGGUUGUACGACAGUGAACUAAUGGCAAUUUCUCGUUGCAUGCACGCAUAUGCAAUUGAAGAAUGCCAUAAUAAUAUGUGUUUUUACUAAAUUAUCUACACUAAAAUAAAAACUGAGGCAUUAUCUGAGGCUCUUUCCUUGGCUAGGCCUCAUUUUCAAUUUUGAUUUCAACUUUGAUUUCGCUUAAACUUUGAUUUUGAGCUAGACUGUAAUUUCGACUUUGAUUCUGAUUCUCUCCCAAUUCAUGCCUUAAGAAUCAGUUUCUCCCAACUCUAUUUACCAAAACCAAAAACUCUAAACUUUUCAAUUCGUCUGGGUACUCUCAGAGUUUCAUGCCCUAGUUUCCUCUCGCCAAAAAGCCAAAAAGACUUGGCUUUCAUGUAAUGCUAUACUCCUCGAUUGAACAAGCUGCGUCUUCAAAUUCAACUUUCUCACUUCCCUUCUCUUUACUUUCUUUUCUUUUGUUUUCCAGCCCGGAAAAUCAUGGAAGCAUUACAAAUUUAAGAGAAUAUUCUAGUAUUAGGGUCCAAACUGUACUAUUUAGGUAUUUUCAUUCUGAUUAAGAGUUCUUUUCUAGAAAUUUGGUGAAGAAAAAAUAGAGUUUCUGUUUUAGUGUUUGAUUUUCAUUAUAGUGAGUUAUGUGAAAUCGAAAUGUUUCUUGUGUGAUUUCAUCACUGCUUUCAAAUUGCAAAUUAAGGAUUUGAAGGUUACAAAUUAUUAUGUAGAUAAUUUUUGGGAAUUUAAGAGGCAGUACAGUGUUUGUAUAAGUCUUGAGAUAGACCAAUUUACCACAUGCUCGAUUUCUAUAUAUAAAUUUUUUUAAAUCAUUCUUUUGUUUUAUUUAUUCUGUUAAUUUGUCAUAAUGUGUAAUAUGAUAGCUUCUAAUUCUUUCUUCCUAUUUCUUCUUUUUUGUUAUUCUCUCCCAAAUGAAAUGAAGACCUAACUUAUAUCAAGAAGAAGAGGAUGGAUCCUUACAUAUGAAGAUUUUAAAAUUAACAUUAUUGGAAGACAGUAGGAGUAUCGGCAAUUUGAUACAAGUAUCGGAGUAUCAAAUACGAGCAUGCCCGUCUUUAACAAUGUCUCAUUUCAAUUAGUACAAAAGAAAAAUAAAGGCAGAGUUCAAAAUAGAUUGUUCAGUUUCGAAAGUGACAUUGAGAUUUAAAAAGACUAGACAUUAAGAUGGCAAGAGAGAUCUAAAAGGAUCAAACAAAAAAAAUGAAUGAAAAAUUGAAAAUGCCCUAGAAAGGGAGGAAAUCUUAGUUGCAAUGGGGAUAACAGUAUUUUGCUAUCCUCGAUCAAUAAUUUUAUACCACGUGACCUAAGGAGGCAUGUCAAUCUAGCUCAUCUGGUCCACCGUCCAUGAUAUGAACUCGACUUGAGAGUUUUUUUUUUUUUUUUUUUUUUUUUUUGGGGUUGAAGUAGAACAACUAGACUUGAGAGUUGAUGUCACAUCUCAAGGUCGGUUCCACCGUAGCACGAUAUUGUCUGCUUUGGGCCCCCUCUUUGUCCUCGCGGUUUUGUUUUUAGGAGCUCACGAGCAACUUCCCAGUUGGUCACCCAUCUUGGGAUUGCUCUAGCCCAAACUCACUUAACUUCGGAGUUCUCAUGACUUCGAAAUCAGUGAGCUCCCAAAAGGCCUCGUGCUAAAAGGAGGUGGGCAUAUACAUAUAAGGCGCAACACCCCCUCUCCGUUAGUCGAUGUGGAAUGUUACAAUCCACCCCCUUUAGAGGUCCGACGUCCUCGUCGGCACAGUCUCACCACACGGCAGAGUGGCUCUAUGCCAAAUUGUCGCAUUCCGGGAUCGGCUCCGUCGUAACACGAUAUUGUCCGCGUUGGGUCAACCUCUCUGCCCUCACGAUUUUGUUUCUGGGAGCUUACGAGCAACUUCCCAGUAGAUCACUCAUCCAAACUCGCUUAACUUCGGAGUUCCCAUGACUCCGAAGCCAGUGAGCUCCCAAAAGACCUCGUGCUAAAUGGAGGUAGGCAUGUACAUAUAAGGCACAUCACCUCCGCUCCGUUGGUCGAUGUGGGAUGUUACAGUUGAGGGCUCCGUUGGUCGAUGUACGAUGUUACAGUUGAGGGCUCCGUUGGUCGAUGUAGGAUGUUAUAGUUGAGGCAGCCAAAAUAGAAGGGAAGCAACCCUACUCCACUCCCUCUCCCCAUGUGCCCAGUUCUCUACUCGUUUACUUCACCUUUUAAACCCCUUCGUACUUGAAGACCUGGCUGGCAAUUUGAUUGAAGCGAAAGAGACUAAUUAUCCAUGCUUUUGUUGAAAUCAUUAACAAAAUAAGAAACUUUAGUAAUUGAAGCGAAAGAGACUAAUUAUCAAAACAGAAAAUAUGAAAAAAGAAGCUCCCAAUCCGAACUUUAAGUCACAAGUUUAACAGUUUACUUUAAAACAAAAGCAAGUUACGAAACAAUCCCCUUAUUUACUUGUUAAACAUCAACCGACCCAUUAUUGAUGAGGAUUGAGAAUCUAAGAGCACAUGGACGAUGGAUCUCUCUCCCUUUUUGAAAACAAAAACAAAAACCAACUUCAUUAUCCUUAGUGAAUUUGUUCUGGAUUAGUUGUGUUGCAAUGGAACAUCGAACCUACCUAGCUAAAAGGAAAAAAGAAAGGCCACUACGACAGUACUGCAGUAUAUUAUUCCAAGAAGACAAAUGUAGACUAUAUACGUGAAGAAUAUCUAGUAUUGGUCGUCAUUUUCAAUCCUCAUAAAAGAAAACUUACUUCGCCAUAAUUUCAGGUUGUUCUCAAGGCAGGAAGGUAAGGACACUUGAAAAGAUUCCUUCUCAUCAUCUAUAUAAGGAAAUGUGUUCUCAUCAAGCUAGGGGACAAGGCAAAUUAGCAACCUUUAUACUCGAUAUAUUAUUCCAAGCAGAUAUACAUGUGAAGAAUAUUAUGAUCUUGAUCAAUAUGGAAUCUGUAUCAUGAUCAGUGGAUGUAUCGAUCGACCAUCCAAAGAAAAAGGAUAUCCUCUGCAUAUAUGUGUGCAUGCCAACAACUAUAAAAGGAGACCAUGAGGCAAUGAGUUGAUCAUCAAAGCAAACACACAGAAAUCCCAACUAAAAAUCAAUCAGUGAGACAAUGGCUGGAACUGGAACCAAUGAUAUUAAAAUUAAAGGGUUCGAUGUGAGCAACAACAGCGGCAACACGUCGGGAUUAACCCACUUCGCCAACAGAGCUGCCGAGGGCGACAAGGGCGACAAUAAAAUCGAGGUUGAGGAUGCUAAAGGGCAAGGGAACACGGGAAACUUGAAAGUACUGACCGACUUCGCCCAACGCGGUAAAGUGGGCCAGUCGGAUCGCCAAGAACUUGUCAAACCUCAGGCAUGAAAUUGAAGAAGGCCAUACCAUAACCACUUGUCUGCUUGAUAGAUAUAUGUGCUAAAUUAUCUACACAAAAAUAAGAGCUGAUGUUUUAUCUGAGGCUCCUUCCUUGGUUAGGCCUCGUUAUCAUGUGUAAUAUUAAUAUUAUUAUUCUAAUAAAAUAAUGGUAGCUUAUUAUUAAAUAUACCCAAAUACUAUACGUAUAACUUUUAGAUUAUUGAUACUGGUGUCAACAAGAGAAAAUGAUUAAAAAGUCCUUUCUCGCAUUCGUGAUGUUAGAA